ACACAGGAUUUGGCAUCAGUGGCCAGGAGGGAAUAGAAACAGUUCUGGCCAAUGGCUUUGCCCAGCACUUCAGCAUCCUUAUUUAAAAAGGUGCCAGUACUUGUGUUAUUUCUUCCACGUAAUCUAUGCUUUCCCAUUUGUGGAUUUCUAGUUUAUCUUCUGUGAAUCCUCUGCUCAGCUACAAAUGUGAGACCAUGUGGGCUGGCUGUGGAAGACACUAUAAAAACUAACAGCGGAACGUUCAUCUGGAGAUGUUCUAUGUUAUUUAUGAAAACGUAGAGACCAAUCCUGCCACCUUCUCUCACGCUAACAAUCCUACUAAGGUGUACGCUGUAAAGACCCAGUUGUGGGAGUUACCAGGAAAAUGUAUGUGUUAUCACCCUGGUUUCCAAUGAAGAUUCAGUUUCCAGUGUUUCCCUUGAGACCUUCAGCCUCGCACUCUACUCUGAGAGUGUUUGUGCUGUGUGAAGACUGUGGUAGGGAGCAGAUAAGAUUUUGGUUGAAUUUCAUUAGGAGAGACAUGGGAACAGAAAGAGAUUAAUGGCUUACCCAAAGUGAAUUACAAAUGAGAUAAGGAGUUGUCUCAGAACUUUUGCUCCAGGUAAUUUCCUAAUUAUACAGAGAAUGUUGCACGUGUUCAAAUCACCUGCAGUUUUUCCUAUCUCUGCUUUCUCCUUAAAGCAGUGUUUAGAAGAGGAUAUCACACCUCUAAUCCAUUGGAUGUAAUGCUAAACAGGCUUGGAUGACUUCGUGCUACCUUCCAGGAAAGGAACUGUUUUUUUGCAGCUCCUUCUUACUCGUUUUGAGAAAAGGAUUAAAUCUUUCCUCUGACCAAGCAUACAGGCAUGCUAAAGUGAAGCCACUUCACGCUCCUAGCCAAACAAAGAACAAUAAUACCCACAAUAAGCAAAAGCAGAUGGCUUCAGUGGCAGGAAAUGAAUGAGCCAGACUGCAGGUAAAAUGGCUUUCUGAACACAUCUCAGAGGUUUGUAAUGACAGGUUCUUUGUUAUCUGGGGCCUCCCCACUGGAGGCCAGAUGUCUUCUGUUGUGAAAGGAGAUAGAUAGAGAUGCUCUUCCUUUUCCUCCCCCUUUAACUUAUGGCUGUUUAAGUUACUGCUAAUGGAAGAAGAAGCCUGUUUUUCCCCCUUGCUCUCUGAUGUUUUUGGAAAGAGAAGAGAUAGUUAGUGAAGGGGUAUUCUGAUAUGAAAGGAAAGGCCCAGAACUGGCCUUUACCUCCCAGUGACCUUCAUUUUAAAGAACAGGGAGGUCAGUGCUGCUAAUUGCACUUGAAAGGAUUAACCACUUGAUUGCUUUCAUUUGGUGGAAAAAAACUAUUCAUUAAUCUUAAAGUUGAAAAAAUGUAUCAGAGGUAUCAAGACAUUUUCAGUGUGAGGUUGAUGACCUAGAUGGUUUGGCUUAUACCAGUUCUGAAAUUAAAUAGAGGAUUACAAUCUUUUUGUAGAGGGGAGAGCAGAAGAUGGGGAAGUACAUCUGGUGCUCAGAACAGACUUGGAGCAGGAGUGAUAACAACCUCCUUUCUCUGUCCAUAUAGAAGGUUUUCACAGGAAUAUCAAUAUAUUAAUUAUGGAUAUUAGAUGUGCUUGUAUCACUUGGUGUGAGAAGAACCUCAGUGUAAUGCAAGAGUCUCAGUAGAUGAAAAAGAACUUGAACCAAUUCCUGGAUGCGGAUUCCAGACUUAAAAUCUUUUCUGCACAUUGUUUUCACUUGGGAAUUAAGAAUCUAUUUCAAAAGUAAAUUAAUUUUAAUUCCCAUUGCUCAAAUAAAGUGAGGUACAGAAAACUUAAAUUUGGAAGCCAUUUUUAACCUUAUGAAACUAUUUUCUGAAAGUACCAGAGCAGCUUAUAUAAGCUUUUAUCUGACCUCUACUUCUUAAAUAAAAAAACAUGUUUUCGGGGAAAUGUGUCUUGCAAGUACCUUCCCCUCCCCCCAAGUUUUUUCUCUCUGGUUCUUGUAAAACACUAGGUCAGCGGGUUCAUUUUAUUUCUGUUUGCUUGAAGUGAAUGAAAGUUUCCAUCUCAAAUUUGUGUGAUUUAAAAUCACUUCAAUGAUUUAAAAAAUAUUACGGCAAUCUUCAUAAAACAGAAACAGAUGAACGCGUCAAUAAACUAUCAGAAUUCAAACCAAAAGAGAUAGCAUUAAUCAUUGUAAAAAGCCCCAAUAACCUCUCAGUAGCGGUAAAAUGAAUAAGAAAUGCAUU